GGGUGAGUAACACGUAGGCAACCUGCCUGUAAGAUCGGGAUAACUACCGGAAACGGUAGCUAAGACCGGAUAAUCGGUAUCUCCGCAUGGAGAGAUCGUGAAACACGGAGCAAUCUGUGGCUUACGGAUGGGCCUGCGGCGCAUUAGCUAGUUGGUGAGGUAACGGCUCACCAAGGCGACGAUGCGUAGCCGACCUGAGAGGGUGAACGGCCACACUGGGACUGAGACACGGCCCAGACUCCUACGGGAGGCAGCAGUAGGGAAUCUUCCGCAAUGGACGCAAGUCUGACGGAGCAACGCCGCGUGAGUGAUGAAGGUUUUCGGAUCGUAAAGCUCUGUUGCCAGGGAAGAACGCCAAGGAGAGUAACUGCUCUUUGGGUGACGGUACCUGAGAAGAAAGCCCCGGCUAACUACGUGCCAGCAGCCGCGGUAAUACGUAGGGGGCAAGCGUUGUCCGGAAUUAUUGGGCGUAAAGCGCGCGCAGGCGGUUUUUUAAGUCUGGUGUUUAAUCCCGAGGCUCAACCUCGGUUCGCACCGG
rnacentral:rRNA from 1 species